rnacentral:rRNA from 1 species
GAUGAACGCUGGCGGCGUGCCUAAUACAUGCAAGUCGAGCGAACGGACGAGAAGCUUGCUUCUCUGAUGUUAGCGGCGGACGGGUGAGUAACACGUGGAUAACCUACCUAUAAGACUGGGAUAACUUCGGGAAACCGGAGCUAAUACCGGAUAAUCUUUUGAACCGCAUGGUUCAAAAGUGAAAGACGGUCUUGCUGUCACUUAUAGAUGGAUCCGCGCUGCAUUAGCUAGUUGGUAAGGUAACGGCUUACCAAGGCAACGAUGCAUAGCCGACCUGAGAGGGUGAUCGGCCACACUGGAACUGAGACACGGUCCAGACUCCUACGGGAGGCAGCAGUAGGGAAUCUUCCGCAAUGGGUGAAAGCCUGACGGAGCAACGCCGCGUGAGUGAUGAAGGUCUUCGGAUCGUAAAACUCUGUUAUUAGGGAAGAACAUAUGUGUAAGUAACUGUGCACAUCUUGACGGUACCUAAUCAGAAAGCCACGGCUAACUACGUG